UUCCGGUUGAUCCUGCCGGACCUGACUGCUAUCGGAUUGAUACUAAGCCAUGCGAGUCAUUGUAGCAAUACAAGGCAGACGGCUCAGUAACGCGUAGUCAACCUACCCUAUGGACGGGAAUAACCUCGGGAAACUGAGUAUAAUGCCCGAUAGAAUAUUAUGCCUGGAAGGGUUUAUGUUCCAAAUGAUUUAUCGCCGUAGGAUGGGACUGCGGCCUAUCAGUUUGUUGGUGAGGUAAUGGCCCACCAAGACUAUUACAGGUACGGGCUCUGAGAGGAGUGGCCCGGAGAUGGGUACUGAGACACGGACCCAGGCCCUAUGGGGCGCAGCAGGCGAGAAAACUUAGCAAUGUGCGAAAGCACGACAAGGUUAAUCCGAGUGGUUUCUGCUAAAGAAACCUUUUGUUAGUCCUAGAAACACUAACGAAUAAGGGGUGGGCAAGUUCUGGUGUCAGCCGCCGCGGUAAAACCAGCACCUCAAGUGGUCAGGAUGAUUAUUGGGCCUAAAGCAUCCGUAGCCGGCUCUGUAAGUUUUCGGUUAAAUCUGUACGCUUAACGUACAGGCUGCCGGAAAUACUGCAGGACUAGGGAGUGGGAGAGGUAGACGGUACUCGGGAGGAAGGGGUAAAAUCCUUUGAUCUCUCGAUGACCACCUGUGGCGAAGGCGGUCUACCAGAACACGUUCGACGGUGAGGGAUGAAAGCUGGGGGAGCAAACCGGAUUAGAUACCCGGGUAGUCCCAGCUGUAAACGAUGCAGACUCGGUGAUGCCCUGGCUUGUGGCCAGUGCAGUGCCGCAGGGAAGCCGUUAAGUUUGCCGCCUGGGAAGUACGUACGCAAGUAUGAAACUUAAAGGAAUUGGCGGGGGAGCAC
rnacentral:rRNA from 1 species